UUAUGCUGCCCAAGGCCAUGGGGGGGCAUGGGAUUCCGUGACAUGAGGGCUUUUAAUCAGGCUCUGCUGGCCAAGCAAGCCUGGCGCCUACUGGAUAGCCCAGCUAGCUUAUGUGCAAGGUUAUUGAAGGCUAAAUAUUAUCCGAGGGGAAAUUUGCUUGACACUGUGUUUUCAUCAAACUCUUCGGCGGUGUGGAAAGGUAUUGUUCAUGGGCUUGAGCUGGUGAAGAAAGGCAUUAUAUAG
rnacentral:rRNA from 1 species